CCGAAGUUGCCUGCUUUCUCCUGGACAGGACAAUGGGACUAACAGACACAGCUCCGGCUGCCGUGGAGGUCAUCACGCCACUGAUCUACUGGCAUUUCUUUAAUGUGAUGCCCAGCCGAUGUCAGACCAACGACCACCAGCUACCCCCAUCUACUCUACUUAUCCAUGUUUUUUGCCUCUCCUAGGACUUUUUGCCCACAUGUUUUUCUCCUAGGGUUUUUUCAACCCCUGGUGAGUCUGCUGAAAUUGGCUUAACUUAACCCCCU